GUCGGGAUGGCCGAGCGGUCCAAGGUGCUGCGUUCAGGUUGCAGUCUUUGUGGAGGCGUGGGUUCAAAUCCCACUCCUGACA